rnacentral:rRNA from 1 species
AUGCACUGCCCACUGUGCCCUGGGAGAGGUAUGCCGAUCUCCCACCAUUCCCGUGCAUGGAACACAAUCUCCAAUGGUUCGGUGAAAUGCUCUCCAAAGAAGGCAGCGACGGUGGCCUGUCCUAACUGUAUAUGUUGGGCACCAAGGGCUCGGGAGAAGUUCCUGGUGCGUGUAUAUGUGUUGCAAGGUGGUGUUUGGUGCCUGCAUACCUCCACCACAUGCCAGCCCUCUCUUAUCCAUUGGGAACCAAAAGUUGUGCUUGUUGACAACAAAAUCUAUAUCCCGACCAUCAACAGUGACAACAUUUUUGUCUUGGAUUUGACGACCUCAUGUUUCUCCACAAUCCAACUCCCACAAGGAGCAAGCUAUAAUUAUUUCCGGACCAUGUUGUCACCAGCCUAUGACGCUUCCGGUGUUUAUCUCAUCCAUGUGGACCGAUUUGAUCUUCGCAUCUGGCUCUUCAAGGGGAACAAUUGGUUGCUGGUCAAUACCAUUUGUUUGAGGAUGUUCGAUCACAGGCUUGAGGACGAGCAUAAUGCAAAUGUCCAGAUAAGCCAGGUCGGAAAUAAUGCUGAGUUUGUUUUCUUGAGGAUGGGUGGAUGCACAUUCUAUCUGGACGUCACGAGUAAGACACUGCGUAAAUUGCAUGAGAAGACAGACAAUGAUCGACAUUUUAGUGAUGCCAAGCCUUUUAUGAUGAUUUGGCUGCCCAUAUUCCCUGUGCCAAGGACGACCCUUCAAGGUUUGCUUUUUGGACUUCAAAUCAUCUCUAUAUUGCUCUUGUUGCGGCCAUGA